AUUCGUCUCCCUCUCUUCUUUCAUUUCCCCCUCUCCACUCCUCUGCAAUCACAUGCGCAGACGCCUCGCCGCCACGCUCCCUCUUCGACUCUUUUUUUUGAGAUAGCUUACCAGGCUUGCUGCCUGGUCCCCCCCUUCGACCCAAUCUACUAGGAGCUCUGCCAGCUUUUGGAUUUGCAUAUAAUGCUGACACCACAUGGACUCUGAACUCUGAAGGAAGUUGUGCUAACUGCUAGGCUUUCCCUUUUUUUCCAGCUUGUGUGUUUCAUUGAUGGAUGAGACCUGAAAGUAACAUCAAAGGAU